GCUAAGUGACCGUUUCCAGCCAGCAGCCGCCGCUGCCUUGGACAAGGGGAUGUCUUCCAUGUCGGGCGGGUGGCGGGACGUGGCCGGGGUGCGCAUCGCCCCGCCCGAGCUGCGCUUCACCGCCACGGUGCCGGGGCGCCGUUACUGUGCCGCGCUCAGUAUCCAGAACCUGCGGGCGCAGAGCUGUCGCCUCCGGCUGCUGCCGCCGCGCCGGCCCCAGUUUAAACUGAUUGUGGACAAUCCAGACAAACCUGUUGCACCUGGACUUCAAGUCAAAGCUUUUGUAGAAUACUAUCCUGAGACUGAAGAAGAUCUUCAAGAUAGUUUACCUCUUGAAGUAGAAGAAGACGUACUUUAUAUCCCCCUGGUUGGGUUAAUUCCAUCCUGUCAUCUGGAAACUGAGCCGGAGGUUGAUUUUGGUAUAGUGAUAGCAAGCAGUAAAAUAAUUAGUAAAGAGAUUAGUAUUGCUAACCGUGGAUCAUUAUCAGGUGCAUUUAAAAUAUCAUAUAAUGGGGAUAUCCUACUUGACAUAGAACCUACCAGUGGAGUGGUAGAGCCUAAAUCUUUAAAGGUGGUUAAAGUGCAUAUCUGUACAGAUGUACCAAGAGUCAUCAGAGAAAUGAUAAAAGUGAAGAUGGAAGGAGGUAGCUGCAAGGAAGUAUGGAUCACAGCUGUUGUUAUUGAACAAGUUCUUAAAGUUCUAGGACCAUCUUCUGGAAAUGUAUUGGAAUGCGUUAAUUUUGGAUCAGUUUAUUUUGGGUCUUCAAAGACUAAACAAAUAACUUUACACAAUGAUAGUCCAGAGCGUAUGGACUGGGUAGCAGUGCUGGAAGACAAUGCUGUUGGAGGAGAGAUGGGAACAGAUCUACAGAAGAGUGCAGAUGCUGUUUUACAAGAUUUAAGCUUUAUGAAGAAAACAAGAGAUUUAGAUGUUUCCACCUUGAUCUGGUGCAUUCCUGAUCAGGGAACCUUGCUACCUUAUGAGAAAUCCAUGGUUACAUUAUGCUUUUGUCCAGAGAAACUUGAAGGGACCUUUGUAGUGAAUGAUUCAUCACCAAAACAAGAUUAUCUAUUGUUUCUGAGAUUUGAGGCUGCUGGUAAUAAAGAUCUGCAGACCCCCAGCGAUGGUACCACACCAAGUACAAAAAAUCGUCCUCAUCACACGGAAUUGGCUUUGACAGGUUCUGCUCUUCCUGUCAUGUUAACUUUUAAUCCAGGACCAGUAAUUAAGUUUAUGGACUGUUUCCUGGGUGAACAAACACAAGUUUUGUGCACACUCAAAAAUGAAUCUGAGUUCCUUCCAGUAAAAUUCAGUUUCCGCAAGACUGCUCACUUUAAUAUUUCUCCUGAAAAGGGAAAAAUAGAAAAAAGUUCUACUAAGGAGUUGAUAUUUUCAUUUUGUCCACAUCAGAUUGGAGUAUUUGAAGUGAAGCAGGUUAUCGACAUAAUUGGUAGAGAACUAGAGAAAAACAAUUUACAAGUUUCAAAGACAAAAUCUUUUCUCCAGAUAUAUUUGAGCUUUAUUGGUGUGUGCAAAUCUAAACCAAAAACCAUUCUAUUCAGAAUUAAUUCUGGUAUAACACCAAUGGUUACCAAUCCAACUGGACAGUUUGUAGCUGAUGGCACAGGACAGUGGACUGAUACUGCACCUAUGGCAAUACUUAAAUCAACCCAAACACAAAUUCAUACCCACAAAAUAAACAGGAAUUGUGAGGGGGAUGCACUUAUAGCUUUUCCUAACGACCGCUCAACCAGCAUUAGACCUAGUGAACGGAAUAAAAAGUACAGGACUAUUUUUACAAAGACUCAGAGAUAUAAUUAUAUAGAUCCAGAGUUUUCUUAUACUGACUAUGAGCGACUGUCAAAGGAAGUACAUAAGGAAUACUAUGCAGAUUUCAUUUCUAGUUUAAGGCAGCGUCGCUUAGAGAAAGAUGCCACCAGGCAGUUCUAUAUUUAUAAUAAUUCUGUGAACAUAGGUCUUAAACCAAAAGAAGGGAUUAUGUCACCAAAGAUAUCAGUCACAGAUCUUCACAAGGAGAAGCUACAGUUGAAAAUGCUUUCUUUGGAUGAGAAUUCCCUAUUAACUAGUAAAAAACUGGCAGCAAGUGCUUCAGUCAAAGAAGUUUGGAGUGGGCUUAAUUCUAUGCCGUCUUCUACUCAAGAGAAGGAUGAUUGUAAUCUAACUUUGACACUCAAACAGCUUCAUCAAAUACUUAUCGGUCCUUCUACUAUGAACUUUGGUGAUGUUUGUGUGCACUCUACAACUGUCAGAAAACUGCAUAUCAUCAAUAACUUGUUGGUUCAUAUAUGGUUACAAAUUGAGAUUGAAACUGAUGAAUUAGCAGUGAAAGGUCAAUUGUGUCAUGUGGUGCCUCCUCUUACAAAGACAUGUAUUCCAGUAGAAUUCAAGGCAAGAAUUUGUGGAAUGUUUAAAAAAUCUUUCACUUACACAAUAAACGGCAAACAUCCUGGGCAUGUGCUGGUUAUUGCAGACGUAGUGCCUGUUGAACUUCAUCUGUCUGCAAGAGAAUUGAUUUUAGAUCCUAUUCCUGGCUACCUGCCAGAGACAGAAUUUAGAACAACAGUCAGGGUGUCUAACCCUGGAAACCGUUCUGUUGAGUUUACUUGGAAACCUGUGACUACAAAAAAAGGAACUGCGUUUUCUAUACAGCCAACCAAAGGCUUUGUGGAGCCCUAUAGUGACCUGGAGUGUGAAGUUGUUUGGCAUCCAGGGUUCAACUCUGCAGAAGCAGGAGAAUUCCUUUUGUGUGUGCGUAAAGGAAACACAACUAGCUUGAAAUGCUUUGCAAAGCUUGGUCCCACAAAAGUUCAGGUUAUGGAACAAAGGGUACCUUUCAGUCAUUGUCCACUGGCUUUACCUAUUUGUAAGACUGCCAUUCUUCAAAACAUAGGAUACAAUCAUGCCUACUUCCAAGUUCUUCAUUCAAAUCCAGUGCCUGGAAUGGUCAUCACCCCUCCUGAAGGGGUGGUACCUGUGGGAGGCCAUGCUGAUCUCAAAAUCAGUUUCACUGCGGAUGCAAAAAUGAAUUUUGAUACAAGAGUGGAGGUAGCAAUUCGGAACUCAGGAGUACUUACAUUUAGGAUUAGUGGAUUUGUAGAUGUUCCUGAAAUAAAGAUUGACAUGGAGCUAUUUGAUUUUGGUGGUGUUUACGUUGGUUCCACAAAAUCAAUUCCAUUUUUACUGCAGAACAGAGGGCAUACACGCACCAGAGUGAUGUUUGAUUUUUCCAAGUAUAAGGAUUUUAAACUUGAUUCUAACAAUCAGACAGAGGAUGACAGCUGUUCUUCAGAGUCUUAUUUGCAUUCAGUUACUCUGCAGGGAAAGUCAUCUCUGCAGUGCUCAUUGUCCUUCAUGCCAAAAGAGGUGGCGGCAUAUGACUUCAUUCUUCCAGUUAACACUCGUUGGUAUGACCUUCCAUUGCUACAGCAAUGCUCUGCAUCUGCAACAUCUAUUGGAUCUGUAAAGCAUGUCAUUGCUCCACAGCCACAGAGGGUGACUGUGGCUAUUCCAAUCUGUAGAGUUAAAGCAGUUGUACUUAAAUCACCACUGGAGUUGUCCUCAACGGAACUUAUAUUUACACGACAUUCGAGUGCUAUACAUUCCAAUCUUCCUGAUGAAUGUUUAGAUUCUCAGAUGCUUGACCUGAAGAAUAUCUCAAGGCAACAGUUGACAUGGAAGUUGAAUUGUGAUGAUGCAGGCAAAAAUAUGGAAGACAGUAUUUUUAAAUUUAGUCAGCAGACAGGAUUUCUUGAUCCAGGACAAAAAACCAGUAUUGCUGUGUUCUUCUGCUCUUCUUAUCCUGGGACGUACGCAUCUGAAACAUCAGUGUGUCUAAAUGAUAAUCCAUCACGUUACAAAGUAACAUUGUCUGGUACUGUCAAGUCACCAAAAAUGAAUUUUGAUCCUCCCUUUCUAAAGCUGAUGCCAGUUCCUCUGGAUGUGAAAACUGAAACAGCCAUCAAAAUUAUUCCACAAGAUUAUUUAAGGAAAUCCCGAAUUCAGGUUGAACUUCCAGAGCUUGAACUUGAAGAUGGUGACAGGAUUUCCCCUUUAUCUAUACAGUUCCCAGAAGGACAAGAUAUUAUUCCUUUAUUAGAUGGCACAAAUAUGGAACUAAGUUGUCAUAUUAGCUUUGAAUCAUCUACUCCAGUGUCAUUUUUAGGGAAUAUAUUCUUCAUUGAUGAAGAUGAAAACAGGUUUUCACUUCAGAUUGCUGCAACAGCAGAGAAUUGCAUUCUUACUAUAUACUCGUAUUUGGCAUUGCACCGCUCUGAACAACAAAUUACCUUGAUAAGCAAUGAAGACUGCAGUAGUGGAGAAGUUGUUCUGCAUCCAUUUUCUUCACCACAAUCACUUUCCAGUAGUACUUCCUCAAGUUCCUUUGGUCUAAUUGCUGAAACGUAUGAUUCCUGGUCAGAGUCAGAUAUUACUCUUGAAAAUGAUGAAAGUGCUGAGAUGAGUGAAGAGAGCGAAACUGACAGUCAAAGUGAUGAGAGUGAAAAUAAAUCUGAAUUACCAUUUUCUUCUAAUGAAGACAAAGAAGAGAUCAUCUUUCAGAAAACUGUAACUGCUGUUCAGAAUUGGUUCACUCUCUUUGGCUGGUCUAAGGGACCAAAUCCCAUUUCAAUACCACAUUCAUUGAGAAGUGAUGUCUGUAAAGUCCAAAUGACUUCUUCCCAAGAAAAGGUUUUUAAACACAAUCUUGACAAAGGUACUAUUUACAACAUGUUAUUCCACCUGAGCGGACAGUCGUUACCAGGCAUUACAUUGAACCAAUCAUUGCCCCUUGAUCCAGUUGAACGAAUGUUACAGCUCCACUGGCAGUAUUCUACGUUGCUUACUUUCCUUAAAAGCCGAGGAGCAAGUCUUCCCCAUGUUAUUCCAGAAUACCUAUUUGAACCUGAUGAUUAUAAGAAGUGGACUAAAAUGCAAGCUGUGCUGCAGGCUCAUGCAGCUAACUCGAAAAAAGGAGUUGAGAAAAACUUAGUAAUAUUUAGCAACAAACAACUGUUAAUUCUGGAGGACAGUGUAUUUGAGACAAUCAGCAAACAAGCUUGGACAGAUGUGCUAUUGCAGGUGUACAAGGUGUUUGUUCUACCACGUGUUUCUUCACAUAAUACUGCUGAUCUGAUCAAUUUGGAAAAGAUGCAGAACGUGCCAAGAAUAAACUCAGAAAUUUUAUCCAGUAAUAUAUAUUCUCCAUAUGAACGAAUCAUCCUCACUUGGUUGAAUAAAAAUUAUGAGAAUAAUCGAAAAACUGUGUGGAAAGAUGCUCAAAAAGGUGAAGUACCACUGAGGAGAUGGAUAGUAAAUUUUGAUCGGGAUCUUCUAGAUGGUCUGGUAUUGGCAGCACAGAUGGCAGCUUACUGUCCAUUCUUGAUUGCUACUCACUUUGUAAGGAUGUAUACUAAUCCAAGAACUUCUGCACAGUUUCUGCACAACUGUUUGAUACUUGUGAAUGCUAUGCAUGCAGUCAGUCUGACUAUAGACGUAAAGGCCACUGAUAUCUGUGAUCCAAACCCAAUCACGAUGCUUAUUCUGUGUGUCUACCUAUAUGAAUACCUUCCACACUACUUACCUAAGAAGACUAUAGAAUUUACAGGUGCUCUCCAUGCAACUGUUGUUAAACAGGUUCGUCUGAAAAACCCAAGCAUUAAAACUUUGGCAUACAACGCUACUCUUGUAGGAAGAGAUGCUGAUGAUUUCUCGUUGCCUGAAGGAAACACUGUAAUCAUUGCCCCUAAGAAACAAACAACUAUAAAUGUGGAAUUCACUAGUCGCUUUCUGCACCCUACUGAAGCAACGUUGCUACUGAUCUCAAAGCGAGUGUGCGGAAUACGUGGUGCCACACUUACAUUCUCCCUGAAAUCUGAAGUCAAGCAUAUUGAACCAGCUGAUAUAUUAAAAUGCAAAUCUCCGUGUUAUGAGUUGAAGAAAGUGCUCCUAAAUGUUACUAAUCCCUUCAGAACUGAUGGCAUAUUCAGGGUCAUUUUGCUGGAAUCCACAAGUUACUUAAGUCAGCCAGAACAAGUACAUCAAGCCAGGCAAUUAAAGCAAGAGCAAAUGGUCAGUUCUGAAAAUAAUGUGUUAGACUGUAAAAACAGUACACUGCCUGAAGAGCCAAAUGAAGACAGAAACUUUAAUUGCUCUGACCAGUCCAGCCUCCUGCAUGAGUUCUUCAGUCCCGUGGAAAAACUGUUCUUGGCCGGCAGAAGUUCUGCAGACUUAGAGAUUCACUUCCUUCCAUUUUAUCUGGAAAAACGUUACUGCACUGUCAUUCUGGUUAAUGAAAUGAUUGGAGAAUUUGUAUACCUUGUAGAAGGAACAGGUGAUACACCUUUGCCUUCAGAGCUGCUUCCCAUGUAUAGUCCAAAUGUUUUGCAUGUUAGCAGUACAUUAGAAGGUCCAAGUGCAGUAGAGCCAGUUUUAUAUUUGAAAUGUAGUCUUGGACAGACUCUUGAAGAAAAACUCAGGAUUCCACUGAUCAAUGAAUCAAGAGAAAGGGCUCUGGCUAUUGUUGCUCAACAGCAGAUGUCAACUAUUGAAUAUGAAAGAAGAAAGAUCACAGGAACUCUGGAUAGCAGCAGUGUCCGAGCUGCAGCUGCAUUGCUAGGGCUGUCCAGAAUACAGAGAUAUGAACUCUUAAAACCACGUGAACUCCCCCCUGAGUUGAAGUACAUAGAUUAUAGUGUAGAAGUGAGCAUGCAAGAGUUCUUUGUGGUUCCUGAGAAGCUCUCUAUUCCAGUGUUGGCAUCUAGCAGAGUUAAUUUGAAAGUUCCUUCAGAAAAAGUGGUUUCACCUGAGAAAAUAGGUAGAACUGAUGCAGUUGAGCUUCCUAUAACAUUUGUUCCUCGGGGUGCUGGUUGCUACCACUGUCAGAUUCUCCUGAAGUCCUCACAGGAUUUUCGUGUCUAUGCAAUUAAAUGUGUAGUGAAUAGAGAUGAUGUUGAAGCAGAGAUUGAAUUUGUAACUCCAGCUUACCAGGCAGUAAUUCAGAAUAUUCCAAUAAGAAACAUGUCUAGCCAGGACUGGAGACUUGAAGCAGUUUUGGAAGGAGUGGGCUUUUCUGGCCCUCCUUCAAUAUAUGUGGGUCUAGGUGAAAUAGCUCUGUAUCCUCUCAUGUUCAAGCCAAUUGCUGAGUGCUUAACAAUGGGAAGACUUAUUCUGCAAAAUACCACAGCUGGCACUGAAAGCAUCUUUAACCUUAAGGGAAUAGGGAAGAAACCUUUGGCACAGAAUCAUACUGUGAUACAUUGCCAAGUGAGACAAGUUACUGAACAACUAUUAUGGGUGCCCAAUUAUACCAAGAACAGAUUAACGUACAAGGUAUCUUCAGAUCUUUCAGUGGUGAGUGGUGCACCAGUUCUUACUGUGGAUCCAGAUGACAUAGUUCCUUACAGAUUGAGUGUAUCUCCAUGGAGACGAGGAGUCUUUCAAGGUGUAAUUUCAUUUGUUGCUGAAGAUGAAGACCAACAGCAGUCACAACGUAACAGCUCGCUGGAGAAGACAGAUGGUGAACAGGCAUUUCAGAAAUGUUCAACAAAGACACCACAAACUGUUGGUGCAGCAAACGCAGGAGGAAGUUCUUCAAAUUGCGAAGUGUGGUUUUCCUUAAAGGUUAACAGCAUACCUGCAGCACCUGAAAGAAAGAUAGAUGUGAAAUGCAGAGCUCUGGAUACUGUUGGAAUUGAUAUUCCUAUCAAUAAUCCUGCAGAUGAAGUUCUUGAACUGAAGGUAGUGCUGGAGAAUCAGUCUCUUUCUGGACAAAAAACUUUCACUCUUUUGCCAAAACAAUCACAUUUUUAUCAAGUAAAGUUUUCCCCAGCUGUUGUUGGCACUUCACAUGAAAGUGUCAUAUUCCAGUCAGAUGUUGUUGGAGAGUUUUGGUAUGCAUUGAAGUUGAUUGUAGAGAAACCAUUACCAACUGGUCUACCUGAGAUAGCAUGUGAGCUUGGAAAGUCAGGUGAUUUCUACAUACCUCUCAUUAAUCCUACACAUGAAACUCUGAAACUAGAAAUUGCUAACAGCAAUCCUAGCAAUUUUUCAACUAAGAUUGAUCCAAAGCAUCAUCUAAUUGUUGCUCCUCAUUCCACCAUUGAAGUACCCAUGCAAUUCUGUCCAUCUGCUUUAGGAAGAGGAAAUCACAAGGCGUCAAUAACCUUCAAAUGUUCUCAGAUUGAAGAAUGGAUAUUUUACCUUUUGGGGACUGGUCUUCCUCCUCGGUUAAUGGAACCAACUACCAUAAGUGCAUACAUUGGCCAGGGUUCUUCUGUCAUCAUAACCUUCAAAAAUCCAACUCAUGAAAAUGUGUUGGUAGAUGUCAUGCUAACAGAUCAGGAGCAGUCCAGCUGUAAUCUCAGUUCAUCUGUUCUAUCUGGGUCAGCCAGUAAGGAAUCUGCUUUCCACCUCUUGUUCAAAAAUACACGAGAUACUUACUGGAGUGCUGGUGAUCUCUCUUUCUACUGCCUGAUAUCAAUCCUCCUUUUCUAGAUGAGUUCCUGAAGAAAUAAAUAACAAUCCUUCCCUAGCAGCAGCUAUUGUCUGCAAGUAUCCUGGAAGCUGCCCUUUCCAAAUCCUGAGGUUGAUGGUAGAAAACAAACCUGAUUAUACUGGAUUAACAUCUGUGUCACUAGUGUUAAUUUUAGCAGGGCCAACUGUGGUUUAGUUCCCCAUACGACGCCAAGAAGACACAGUGAGCUCUUCUUCAUCUCUCUUAUCAGUUUGAGGGAACUGAACUGAGUGUUGCUGUUCUGGGUACUGUAAAUGGGAAGUACUCUGAGAUGCUACAGACUUAACAGCAAUGCAUCAAGGAGAUAGUCCUUUCAACAUCUAGAAACUUUGUGAUCAAAGUACAUUACUGAUAUGAAAAAUACAUGACUUGAAGUGGGAUAAAGUUAAAUGAGAGGGUGGUGACUCUCUUCAAAGAUAUUGCAGGAUAUUUUGCUCAUCGUAAUCACUAUUUUAUCAGUGAGGCACUACGUUAGGUGCUUGCUCUUAAACAUUUUCCUAUGCUACCCUCUGUAGUAGCAUAGGCAACAAAUGCAUUUUUACAUGUCUGUAAUCCUUGCAAAGAAAAUCUCUGCUAUAGGGAUCUACUGCAUCAUUACUUUUGUUACUUCACAGUGCUAUGCUUUCUAGAACUGACACUAAAAAUUACAUAGAACUAAACUACAGUGCAGUGUUCCACAGAAGUGAAGCAGUGAAUUUGAAAUACGCUUAUUUUAAGUAUCUAAUUUAGAGUUCUAGUCUUAAGUUUCAGAAGUUGGGUCCAAGGAUUCUUUUACAGAAUCAGUGUUCUCCACUGUCUCUUUGGUGAGGUGAGAGGCAAGGCUUAAAAAACAGGCUUGCAAAUGAAGAAAUGUGGGAGAAGACAUGCUUUUCCAUAGGGCCGUUGACUCUAAUUGUGAUGCUUGGUUUGAAUCAAAUAGCUUCAGUCUUGUAAAGAGUCAGCUGAGCUUAUGCUGAUAACUAUGACAGUUUCCUAAGGGCCCACGGGACAGUAAAAUAGAACCAAGAUGUUAUAAAAAUCUGGCUCAAAGCUUUUUACCAAAUGUGAUGUGGCUUUAUUCACAAAAAGUGUCUUGCUGUGAAUUUAUUAUGAAGAGUUUGUGGAUUGACCUAGUCAUGCUGAUUUGUGCUAAAAUUGCCCAUAUCCAGCAGUUGCUCAUCCACAUUUUCUAAAUGGGAACAAGAAAAGAGAAGCAUGAAGAAUUAUGUGGCUCUUGCAAUUAGGCCUAUUUCAUUCACCUUAUUAACUAUGCAAAAUCAUAAGGAAAUAAAUCUUUACUAGCAGUUAAUAAUCAGUUGGUUAUUUGACAGCUGCAGGCAAGCCCAGUGAUAUAAAAAUUACUGUCAUUAUGAACAGCUUCUAAUAAGAAGAAUGUUUACUAAAAAUGAGAACACAUUCCAUUUCAACACUUACAUGAAAAUUUGUCUUUUCAUGAUGUUUAAUAACUAAUUUUCUGCUAGAAUGACCCAGAGUGAUACCAUAUGUGUUCUGUAUUAAAAUUUACUGUUAAAAUAUCUCUACGUCCUGUAACAGGCAUAAUUAAGCUGCUGUUCAGACAGUAUAUCCAAAGUAUAUGUAAUGCAGCUAAAUAUCAGUUUACAGUCUGUUCUAUUUCUCAUGUUGAAAUAGUUGCAAAUGGUAUUAGUCAAACCCUGUUCUACUUCAUACCCUCUGAAAGAUUUUUUUUGUUGUUAUAUUACUUAUUUAAAGUUGCAAGCCACCGUGAGUACAUUAUUCUGGCAAAACACUAUCGACCAAAAAUUAGCUUGAACAACUCCUUGUGUAUUUUCUAAUUACUGUGAUGCUGAUGCAACAGCAAUUUUGUGUUUGCAAUUUAUAGGCACCACUGUAGAGGGCAUGGAGAUGGAAUACUUUCUUGGUAACCCUAGCAGAAUACAUGAGGUUCACAGACAAAUAGUAUCUAUUUGGUUGAUCUUACUGAUUUCUACUAAAAUUGUAUAUGUGUACUUUAUUGUCUGCUGUGUUACUAGGCGUAGUAUUGCCAAAAAAGCUGAGAAAGUGUUUUCCUACGUGUAUAGCAAAAUGUAGGGGGAAUGUUUUUAAAGAAAACAAAGCAGUUUGUGGCAAGUUAAAGCUACUCUUGUGUUUUUGAGAGAAGAAAGAAGCUACUUCCUCUGCUUGACACAGCUUUUUUGCAACUUGAGGGGCAGCCUGCCAAAAUGGCUACAAGGGGAAAAGAGAAAAAAUCCAGGAAUGAGAUACAAUCCACAGAUAAAGUUGCACAUGGUUGCAGUGGAAUAGAUGUGUAAGUAGGGAACUUUGCCUUUAAGUCUCUCUGUCUGUAGGAAGGUGAACGUGAAAGUUUCCCUGCUGACAUUUUUGGAGAACACAGCAGUCUUUGUUUAUCAGAAGAAGGAACCACAGGGAAAGCAGUGCUUCUCCCAUACAUUCUAACUUGUGGAGAUUAAGUCACUGUCGGGGAACAAUACACAUAUUUCUCUGUUAGCAUGUGUACAUUGUAGUAGGCAUGAAAAACGAUCUCAAAUAUUGAGAACAUAUAACAUAGUUGUGAGAUUUACUCAUAACUAAGAGCUUUUUCUGCAGAAAGACUAAAGCUGAAACUCUAGCCCGGAGAUGUCAGUUCCAUGAAAUUUCAAGAAUUCUUUAACAGAUUGAUAAUGAAAAGACUGUAUGAUAUUCUUGUUCUAAUUUAUGUAAUUUAUCUAUAACUUUAUUGCUGGAACAUACCCUGAGUUUGGUAUUCUGACACUUGGAAGACUGGCAAGCCAUUGGAAAAAGGUCCUUUAUUAUGGAAACCGGUUAGCUCCAGAAGAAAAACUGGGCAUCCCAGUGUUAUUCAUGCCAGAUACAAUGAAAAUGUAUGAGGCUGUGAUGGUAAUUCAUGUAAUGAGGGAAAAUGGUGAGAACUGGCCUUAUGAGGGUUCUGCUG